CGGAUGGGAUUCGGCUUCUCUGCUAGAAUUCAUUUUGCUAGGAUCUGCUUGGAUAACACUCUCAGCUCGCCACGUGUUACUGGUUCAAUCUAAGGGCUAUAAUGCUUACAACACAGAAAGCCUGGACUCCUCGCAUCUCCCUCUCUCUCUCUUCCCCUCAUCAUCUAGUCGUGAACUGAAGCCGAGUCCGAUCUCUCGACUCCUCACUUAACUCUCAAGAUUUUCCAGAUGAUGGGGAAGACUCACACCGUGGCUUAGAGAAGAGAAAUGGGUUUAGCUUCACAUGGGAGAAACCUUGCAUUUCAGAUUGGUAAUCCAAAAUCAAGGCUUUUGAUUCGGGUCCACUACUACUGCAGUUAUAAAUCAGAGAGUAAAAAGCAAGAGGAUGAUGAAACAGUGAGGGAAAUCUGUACCAUUCCGAAGCGAAGCAGAGAGUGGGAGUCCGUGUUGAGCUCAUCAGGGUUUCCCAAGAAGCUAAACCCUUGUGUGGUUCGAUCCGUUCUUCAACAACACCACCAGGUUCGUCAACAUCUUCAUUCAUUUUUUCUGUACUAUAUGCAGCAAAAGAUAUUCUAUCAAGUGUAGGGAAGAAAACGGUGGAGUACACGGUGCCAUUAGCAGAGAAAACUAAAGAAAUGGCUGUGUUUGCAGGUAAGACCACUCUGCAUUAUGUUGGUCAUGUUGCGGUGGAUUUGAAGGACAAGGCCGUUGUGGCAGGUUGGACUGCAGCGCACGACGGAACUGAGGCACCAGUGGAGGGAACCAAAGCAGCUGCAAGAGUAGUUGCCAGAGCAGCAGGGUAUGCUGGUCAUGAGGCUGUGGAUAUUGUGUCCAAGCCUUUUGAGUGCUGCUAAAGAUGCUCCGCUGUGGUGACUGGUGAGAAAGUUGAGGAGUUCACUGCUCGGAAGAAGGUAGAGGCGAAGAGAGAAUAUGAGGCCAAGAAAGCAGCUGAAGCAAAUAGGCCCAAGGGUUCUGAGACUACUUAUCAAGGAGGAGAAUCCAAAUGCUGGGAGCAAGAGGAGACAUGGACGAAACCAGUUCAGAGGGAAUCUCAGCAUAUGCAGAGUGGCAGACCAACUGAAAAAACCAACCAGAAACUGCACAGUUAGAGAGGGAGCGCGAGAGGGCAGUACCUGGGUCCUGGGAACAAUCGGCAGGACUUGAGGUGUGAUACCGAGAGCUGUUAGUGAGACAUGAGAUUGAACGAGAUGUAUGAUAUGGGUUUGAAUCGUGACCGCACCUUGUACAUUGCUUUGAUUGAUGGAUUCUUGAAAGAAAAUAACGUGGAUAAGGCCCUCAGGAUCAAAGAAGAGAUGGUCGCUCGAGGAGUUAAGUUGUGCGGUGUCACAUAUAAAGUGAUUUUUGCAGGGAUCUGUAAAAUAGGUAAGAUGGAGAAGGCAGAAUCUCUUUUGAAUGAGAUGAAUGCUAUGGGAAUUGAACCUAAUACCCAGACAUAUAACUAUUUAAUUGAUGGGUACUGUCGGGAGCAAAAUGUAAACAAGGCUUAUGCAUUACUUAAUGAGAUGAAGCAAAGGUUGUAAGUUAUGGAGUGAGGAGUCUAUUAAUAACAUCAUCUUGUAGUUUCUAUUUAUGAAAAGGUUGUGGAGGACUCCAAUUUGGAGUGAAUUAAUAUGAAAAGUUUCUAUGUAUGAAUAAAUUCUGCAGAGUAUAUGAGAAUUUCAUUUUUUAUCUUAA